rnacentral:lncRNA from 1 species
CUCCAUGAAAGUGCAGGUUAUUUUACAGUUUGGAGGUGACACUGGACCCCUUGGAAAUCAGAGAAUGUGCACUUUCUUGGCAAAAUAUCCAAGGUAAGGGAGAGUAUAAAUGUGAAUGAGAAUGCUGAGUGUCGGAAGACAUUUGUUUUUUGUUUACAUCUAGGACCAGACCAGAGGGAGUGAGGUCUAUCUAUCCCACGAAGAAACUGAGAUGCAGCUUAUGAAAUAGAGGCUGACAAUGGCUCACCCACCUCCUUUGUAAGAGCCUGGUGUGUGCUACAGGAGCAUGGCCCAUAUACGUGUCAGGUUGAAGGACAACUCAGGAGCUGUCCAAGGCUCAACUUGGCCCCACUUGCCCCAUCUGGCAGCCUGGACCGAGCAUUGUUCAUUGAGUCCCACACCCACAUGGCCCCAGAGUCAAACCGCCUUUCAUGCUGAAGAAUGGAACUGAC